AUUUUUAGUGGACCUAGUAGAUUAUAAAAGUAAAUUGCACCCACCAUACAACAACUUGUAUGGUUAUAUCAAUUUAGUCUAACAAGUAGCAAAGCGUGCAAAUGGAUGCACAAACUUGUCUAAUGCGUGCAUAUACAGUCACACAUACUCCACGUAUACAUAUUUUGCCACCAUGGCAGGUGACAUGGACUGUUUUAUACAUAUAAUCCC
rnacentral:lncRNA from 1 species